GGGGUUGUGGCUUAGAGGUAUAGCGCUCACCUACCAUGCGUGAGGCCUUGGGUUCAAUCCUCAACCCCA
rnacentral:tRNA from 1 species